rnacentral:rRNA from 1 species
AGCUCCAAUAGCAUAUAUUAAAGUUGUUGCAGUUAAAAAGCUCGUAGUUGGAUUUUAGAGUUCGCUUUAGUAGAGUCCGCUUGAAUGAGUGUGUAUUUUACUGGUGGCUCUCCUUACUAGACAUUCACGGUCAUUCUUAACUGAGUGGUUGGUCUUGCUCGCAAGGGUGAGGUGCUCAGUGGGUCUGGGGGUUGAGAUGUGGUUUCUUUACGGGGCAACCUGUGGGGAAAUCUGCUUGGCUCACUUCCAUCGAGUAGGAUUCUAGUUCAUUUACUUUGAGUAAAUUAGAGUGUUCAAAGCAAACGUACAAACUUGUAAUGAAUACUAUUAGCAUGGGAUAAUGGAACAGGACGUUGGUUCUAUUUUAUUGGUUUCUAGAACUAAUGUAAUGAUUAAAAGGGAUAGUUGGGGGCAUUAGUAUUUAAUUGUCAGAGGUGAAAUUCUUGGAUUUAUGAAAGACUAACUUCUGCGAAAGCAUUUGUCAAGGAUGUUUUCA